GCCGGAUAUUGUUGUCUUUGGGGAAGACUUGCACGAAAAGUUCCUCAAAAGUUUGGUGGAGACUUCAAGGAGUGCGAUCUGCUGAUCAUCAUGGGCACCUCGCUGGAAUUGCAUCCGUUUGUAGCUUUGGCGCAGUACCCUGGACUGCGCUGUGUGCGUCUCUCGAUCAAUCGCGAUGCCGUGGGUUUUCCCAAGUUUACCACCUGGAUGGAGGACCAAAAUAACGACUGUCUGCGGCAGCAUCCACUUGGCACUGGGCUCGACACGAACAGCGAGUCAUGUAUUGACUUAGCGGAGCAGCAUUCAAAUGCCACUUUCACCCACCUACGUCGAGGCUCUCAGGUACUUUAUCCGAUUUUGAGAUAUAUUAAUUAGUAUUGAUUCAAGUUCAUCCCACCGUAGAGUGACCGAUGAAAACAGCGCUGGCGCAGCACAGCUCAUUGAUCAGACGAUGAACAUCAGAUAGCAGACUGCAGCUCCAGCUCGAAAACAUCAUCACUUCCGACCUGGUAAACCAAGUACCAAGCGGAUGCUGCCGCGGGCAGUCGUCAUUUUGGUCAUCCAUCCAGGUGGUAAACUUGGGACGACCCACGGC
rnacentral:lncRNA from 1 species